AUAAAAUUCGGACUGUCUGUGUACCGAGCAAUUACAACCGCACGGUAGAAGAUCUUCUCGUUGUCGU
rnacentral:pre_miRNA from 1 species